CCUCCUAAAAUGUAACGGAGGCGCUCAAAGGUUCCCUCAGCCUGGUUGGCAAUCAGGUGGCGAGUGUAAGUGCACAAGGGAGCUUGACUGUGAGACUGACAGGUCGAGCAGGGACGAAAGUCGGGACUAGUGAUCCGGCACUGGCUUGUGGAAGCGGUGUCGCUCAACGGAUAAAAGGUACCCCGGGGAUAACAGGCUGAUCUUCCCCAAGAGUCCAUAUCGACGGGAUGGUUUGGCACCUCGAUGUCGGCUCGUCGCAUCCUGGGGCUGGAGUAGGUCCCAAGGGUUGGGCUGUUCGCCCAUUAAAGCGGCACGCGAGCUGGGUUUAGAACGUCGUGAGACAGUUCGGUCCCUAUCUUCCGUGGGUGUAGGAUACUUGAGAGGAGUUGCCCCUAGUACGAGAGGACCGGGGUGAACGAUCCACUGGUGGACCAGUUGUCGUGCCAACGGCAGUGCUGGGUAGCUAUGAUCGGACAGGAUAACCGCUGAAGGCAUCUAAGCGGGAAGCCCCCCUCAAAACAAGGUCUCCCUGAGGGCCGUGGAAGACCACCACGUCAAUAGGCCGGAGAUGUAAGCGCAGUAAUGCGUUCAGUUGACCGGUACUAAUCGCCCGAUAGGCUUGAU
rnacentral:rRNA from 1 species